rnacentral:lncRNA from 1 species
AGCGGGGAGGGGUGGGCGCUGCACUGGAGCCUUUUCUCUACGGGAGCCGGGUCGCCACUCUCCUCUGAGCCUGGGAGCAUCCCUUCAUCCCUGUUUAUUCCGUGAGUGGCCUGUGGGGACCUCAAGGCAUCCCACCCCCAUUGUCCAGCGGGCGCCGGGUGAGGUCCAGGCCUUGCCAGCACGGUUUAGUACCCCGGAGCGGGGAACACACUCAAAGACCCUACCUGGUGCCUCUUCCUCAGACCAUCGGAGAGACCGGUGUUCCGUGUCGGAACCCGCGGUCUGCUGGUGGAGAGCCUCCAGCGCCAGGAGACACGGCCUGCGAGUGGUAACUUCAUGUUUCUGAAAAAGCACGCCCGCACCCUGCCCCUCAUCCACUUUUCAUGGACCACACGGACUCGCCCAGAGAGGUGAGGGGCGUGCGCGGGACACACAGCCGGGCUCGGGGGCAGGGCCAGGCCCUCUCACCCGCUGGGCAUCCUCACAUCUUCACGGCCACAAAUUCUGCCCAUUACGGUCCUUCCUAUUCUGGAUGGUGAGAAAUAGGAGCUACGUGAUGAGCUUGCUGUGACCGACGUGGCCUUGUCUUUCCCCUCGGACGAGCAGGUGGUGUAGGUGUGGGAUUGCCCGUGGGGGUCUGGCCGUGACCGAAGGAGGCCAGGGGAACUCACGCGCUGGCCACUCUUGAACCCGGGGAGCACUCCCCGCUCGGGUGGCGGGUGGAGCACCACCGGAGCAGCCCUCCGGUGGGAGGCCGGUCUGUCCUUGGACUUCCCUUCCAGUUUCCCAGCCUGGGCGCUGGGAUUAAGGGACACGUGUCCCCGGGACUGCUCUAGGGUGGGCUGAGGUCACGGUGGGUGCUGUGCGGGGCGUGAGACCUGCUUGCCUUCCAGGCCGUCUCAGCGGUGAGGGUCCUGGCCUAGGCCGUCAGCACCAUGUCACGGGGGGCUGCCCUCGGACCUGCGUGAAGACAGAGGCUCCAAGUCUUGCCGUGGGGCAGAGCAUGAUGGGAGCACAGCGCAGACCCAGCUGCGGGUCUGCUCCGCAGGCCUGGUUCUAGCUUCGCCGUCUGGAGCAGAGGUCAUCGGUGGCCUUUAGGCACUCAUCCCUCUGAGACUCAGUUUGCUGGUUCUGUGGAGUGGGCAUGGUGGCUGGUGCCCCUGAGCCUUUGUCUAGGAUCCUACUCGUACGUGAGAUGUGAGCGCACAAAGCCAAGACCAG